rnacentral:misc_RNA from 1 species
AUUUUUUUUUUUUCCUGAAUCAAGCACCCUCUUCCACUACCAAAAAGGCAAACAGUGAUACGGCAAACUAUAACAAAUACAAUUAAAAAACACAAUUUAAAUUCUUACAAGACAAAAAUGGAAUUCGAAACAGCAUAAUCAACCAUCAUCAAUGUUUAGACAAAGGACCUGUAAUGGCUUUUCCAAUUAAAAAAAAAAUCAACACCUAGACUAAAACAUUGGAACUAUUGAAUAUUUUAAUGGGGCCUUCUCACAAUCAACUAGCCCCUUGUAUGCGGCACAUACACUAAAAUUAAUGCCUCUAAAAUCUGUAUCUCUUCCAUGCUUCAAGAGUUGAUAAUUUGCGGACCAUGCACGUACAACUGCCCGCCAAACUGCAAGCAGAACACUGGUAUUUUUUAUCAGUAAAUGAAGUGCUUUCCAAACACAGAGUAAUUUCACUUAGUCAUCUUUCGAGGCACUUGAAUAUUCAGUCCCAUUUUCUGUGUUUGUUACCCCAGAUGAAGCAGUUGACAUAUCACUAGUGGUGCCAUUUCCAUUCCGGUAAGUCUUUGCCGCUAAUGCUGGGUUUCUCUGAGGAACAUUAGUAGCAGGAAUCUGCCCUUCCUCAGCUAGUCUUUUGAUAAGGUUCAU